rnacentral:lncRNA from 1 species
UGGAUAGUAAUGUAGCUGAGGUGCUUGAUGAGGAUGAGAUUGGUGGUGACGAGGAUAAUAAUGAGAUUGUUGAGUCUGAGGAGAAGAAGAUGAAGAAGAGGAAGAAGGAGGUAAGUGAAGUUGCAGAGAGUGAGAAGCCGAUGAAGAAAGCUGCCAAAGGGAAGUUGAAACCUGAUGUUGAGAAACCGAUGAAGAAAGCUGCCAAAGGGAAGUCGAAACCCGAUGUUGAGAAACCUAUGCAGAAAGCUGCGGUCAAGGGGAAAGUUAAACCAGAUGUUGUGAAGCUGGAGAAGAGCAAGGACGGCUUAAAGGCGAAAAAGACAACAAUGGUUGCGAAAGACGAAUCUGGUGGUGGAUUGAAGCCGAAGAG